AUCGCUUCUCGGCCUUUUGGCUAAGAUCAAGUGUAGAACACGUACAUAUUUAUUUAUGUUUACAUAUAUUCAUGUGUGUGAAUAUUGUAUAGUGUGUGUAAAUGUGUGCCUAUAACAAGUUUGUAAGUGGAUACAGGAAUACAUGUGUGUAAGUGCACACAUCGUAU
ensembl:snRNA LOC120103333 U2 spliceosomal RNA